rnacentral:rRNA from 1 species
UACGAAGGGGGCUAGCGUUGUUCGGAUUUACUGGGCGUAAAGCGCACGUAGGCGGAUCGUUAAGUCGGGGGUGAAAUCCUGGAGCUCAACUCCAGAACUGCCUUCGAUACUGGCGAUCUUGAGUCCGGAAGAGGUGAGUGGAAUUCCUAGUGUAGAGGUGGAAUUCGUAGAUAUUAGGAAGAACACCAGUGGCGAAGGCGGCUCACUGGUCCGGUACUGACGCUGAGGUGCGAAAGCG